GCCUACGACAUUAGCCUACGCCUUCUCCUCAGGUAGGCGUUUUAUCUUUUCACAUCAUCACAAGAAGGGAUUUCCUUUGGCACACAGGCAUCGACUGAAGCAUGGGUCCCCCAGAACUGAUGCCAGCUCACUGGGUUUACUCACAAAACCAGGUUAUAUUUGCAGAUUCUUGGGAAACUGUCCAUGAACUCUGAGAAAGGGUCCAGCACCCUGCCUGACAUAGGUGUCCCAUAAAUACUUGCUGAAGGAAUGAAUGAUAACAAAUGAACCACAAUCCAGAGACAGCCAGAUUUGCCAUAUGGACAAUGUAAAACGGCUUCACAGCAUCUUGCCUUCUUGUGUGAAGAUCUCACGACACGCUUGCCACCCUCCCUGCUUUGUAACAGCAAGCUGGACUGCGGCCAUGGCAAAGAUGAAUCUGCCAUCUGCUGGGGUGAGGUGGUCAGAUAAUCAGAAUUCAAGAAUAGUCACCAGCAACUAAUAACUAAAAUCCAGAAUUAUACUUAAAACGUUAUCACGCAAGAAUGUUCUCUAUUAGAAAUAACGCCUCUAUCUAAUACAGGCCAAAUGCCCACCAAUCCCCCAUGAAACUUAAUAUUCAAGGGUCCCAACCAGAAGACCUGGACAUACG